CGCGUCACGAGACUUCUGGAACUCCCUUUUAUUUUUGUUUUGAAAGUAUUGCAGUAAAUACAGAUGCAAUAAAUGGCACUGGGUGUGAUCAGUAGGGAAAGUGGCGUAUUGGAGGACGGAUAACGCACCUCUGUGGCACAAGGCGGCAGCAUCGGCUUGCACGUCUCGCGAUAGUGGCGGGGAGAAGAAUCUAAACCGGAAGUGUACAUAACCAGCUGAGGAGAUCAACGUGCAUUAACGGGUAACGAAGAAAUACAAUGCCUGAAG